AAGAGUGUAAAAAUAAUGAAGUAGGUUCAAGUGAACUGGAGUAACAAUGGAGCACCUUGUGGGGAAAAACCCUGUUCGCUGUGAAUUUUCACAUGACCCUCUUCGGUCUCAUGCUGCAGAUUCAGCCAUGCGCUCUGGGGCCCAGCUGGUGUGUGGAGGCUCAGGCCACAGAAGGAAAAGGCAUCUCGUCCGCCUCCCACUCUGGGGGACCCAUUUCCUCCAGUAUUUGAGGAGGAUUGGUUUCUUCACUUCCAGCAGAGUUCACGUGAACUAAGGUGCUGGCUGGGAGAUCUCGGUGCCCACUGCUCCAUCCAUGAAGCGAUCAAGCCGCUGCUCCCCACCCAAGACUUAACACGCUCUGGAAGACAGUCAUCUUAACUGGUUCUAUAGUCAACGUCCAUCUCGUGAAAUGACCUUAUUUAUUAAUACUAGUAAA